GCAGUCGAGCGGUAGAGAGGUGCUUGCACCUCUUGAGAGCGGCGGACGGGUGAGUAAUGCCUAGGAAUCUGCCUGGUAGUGGGGGAUAACGCUCGGAAACGGACGCUAAUACCGCAUACGUCCUACGGGAGAAAGCAGGGGACCUUCGGGCCUUGCGCUAUCAGAUGAGCCUAGGUCGGAUUAGCUAGUUGGUGGGGUAAUGGCUCACCAAGGCGACGAUCCGUAACUGGUCUGAGAGGAUGAUCAGUCACACUGGAACUGAGACACGGUCCAGACUCCUACGGGAGGCAGCAGUGGGGAAUAUUGGACAAUGGGCGAAAGCCUGAUCCAGCCAUGCCGCGUGUGUGAAGAAGGUCUUCGGAUUGUAAAGCACUUUAAGUUGGGAGGAAGGGCAUUAACCUAAUACGUUAGUGUUUUGACGUUACCGACAGAAUAAGCACCGGCUAACUCUGUGCCAGCAGCCGCGGUAAUACAGAGGGUGCAAGCGUUAAUCGGAAUUACU
rnacentral:rRNA from 1 species